UGAGGAGCUGAGAACAUUUGUACCCGAAGUGUGUUGAACAGUUUUUCAUGAGGAGAUUUGAGGAAGAAGCAGAAGGAGGGGAGAAGGACAAGAGGCCCUGAGCUACCGACUACCCCGUGAGCCACCCAGAUGAAACUCAAGAGUAUCGAGAGACUGCGUCAUACCGCCAAACUGACUUCACUGUUUGCUUAAGGUAUCAUUUUUAUUUGUUGCUCUUUUGAGUGAAGCGGCCAGAGAGUUUUAAGCCUCACCGUACCCAAGCAUCCUAUCAGGCCUGCAACCCGGGGAAAUUUAGAACUAAUUGCCGGCGGGUGACUGUGUGUGUGUGAGCUUGUUAAAGAACUCAGGGCCCUUCCCUGAUUAUAUUAUGGGAUAACUGGGCUACGUCUCUCUCCACCAAAGAGACUGGACGACAAGAGCGUUCACUGCCGUGUAUCGUCUGGCAGCGAGGUGAGUUGGUUCAUCAGCUCUUGUCAUGCGUGUCUUUGUCUCUGUGGGGGAGGCAGGGCUAUGGGCUACACACACACACACAGUGCAAUCUUCGUGAGGGGGAGAC